GGCACCAGGUGCUGGCCCCAGCUGUGGCUUCAGGCAGUUCAUAUAGGUUUGGCAAAUGAGAUGCUCCAUGGCUGGGGAAAAAGAGCUAGUCUCCACCAGCAUGGCUUGCAGAAGGGCCUGGAUUUACUUCUUGACCCAUACCUUAGCUAGAAGGGCUCAAAACUUUCUCUUCUUAUUACUGUUUGGACAGUAUGUUCUUGUUGUGUGGUCCUCAACAAGGUUUCAUUUAGCUUUUACUGUGUUUUUAACCUCAGGUUUCAGAAUGAUGGAUUUGGGGUGGCGUUUUUGAAAGCUUACACGUGACUUUGGAUCACUGGUCCUGUGAAAUUCCUGGGGUCUUUAAUCACUCAGGAAAUACUGAGGAAAAAAAAAAGUGUACCCUUUAUUGGGAUCUUAGUUUCUCUUUCUUAAAAAAGUGUAGAGGCGGUCCUGAUGAUGGAGAAUAAUAUUGACUUUCUGUAGCUGAUAGCAGAGAUCUGAGUGGGCUGGGAGUUUUCCAACUAGAUGCUUUUUUUUUUUUUUUUUUUUUUUUUCUCUUGGAAAAUGCUGAUUUAUUGAAACUGAAACUUUUCAUGGGAACAUAUCAGUACUGAUUAAAUUCUGUUGAGAGAGAUUGCUAGGGUCUGAGCCAGAAUUUCUGGCUGUAACAAAAAUGAGGUCCUUUCAUGGGGAAUGACCAGCAGGUCAGGGCAGCCAUCUGGAGCCUGUCUGGGUCAGGUAGAAGAGAGGACGAACUUGGGGUCUCUCAUAUAGCUGACAUAGCCCUUGAGCUAUUGCUUACUCCAAGGAUCCUCUGCUAGUUUUUCAUAAAGCGGUCUUGAGAAACCCUCCAGGCUUAUUCUGGUAUGGAAUGGGAAGUUUAUUUUUUGUGUAGGUUAUUGGGAGACCGAAACAUUUGCUUGUAAACAUCUUUGAAGAUCUAAUCUAUCAAAUUAUUGGUAUUUAUUAGUAUUGCAGUUUUUGCUACUCAUUCAGAUAGAGCACUGCAUUGCAGGGGGUGCUCAACAAAAAUGCUUCGGAGAGGAUGUCUGGAUGUCAAGUCCAAAGACUGAAUCCUACGGAAACAAAUUACUGGUAACUGCAUUAUGGUGAUGUUAUUAUCAGUAAAUGUUAUUAGCGCGAGGAUUUGUUCCCAUGUCAGAAUGAUGUUAAUACAAUAUUAGUGAUGCAGGUCUUCGGUGUCAACACAAGAAUAUCAAAUGCAAGUGGAGGAAAAUUGUAUUGGAUUGUGGAGGUGAUGGCAAAUCAAUGACACGGAAAAUCUAUGGAGAGCAGUUCAUAGUGACACAAGAAAGCAGUGUCCGCAUAAAUCAGGGGAGACCAAUGGACACUGAAAGGGAAUUUCCAUGCAAGAUUAAGUGGACAUUGUUAUCGUGUCAGGACUGUGUGAAAUAAGUGCGAAAUGAGGACGAUACUGGGAUACCAACACUUAGACCAAGCAAUGUCAACAGAAAUUACUCUCUCAUUAAAGGAAAACAAAAGGCUAAUGGCCUAGCUCAGUUACAACCUCUGUCAGCAGCAGUAGCAGCUGCUGGGGUAGCUGAUGGGUCAGGGCAAUGGAUCAGGGCCCUGCUGCGUUUGGUGCUAAGCAAAUACGUGCCUACACUGUAGUCCUGGCCUGAAAGCUGACAAGGAUGUGCAAGAGAUGUCCGUAAAGGCGACAUGGCAGCAUAUGAAGAGGUAGAAGGACAGCACGUGGCUUCUGCUUUUCUGAGCCUUCUGUGUGCAGCCGGGAGAGGUGAAGGAAGAGGAGGGUGGCACUCUGGGGACAGUGUGGGGACAUGGGGCUGAAGGGGAUGGCUGUUGCUUGCGGUGAGUGGGAGUGGGCAAGGUGAUGCUGGUGGGAAGGAGAAGCUGAUGGUGAAGUCAACAUUGGGUCCAGGCUUGAGGCUGGAAGGGCAUCAUGGUAUGUAAAAAAAGGAAAGAAGGAUGAGUCCUACCUAAUUUUAAGUAUCUAUGAGGCAGCUUGCAUGUACCCUGAGCUCCUGCCCGACAAGUAGGGGUGGAAUAAGCCCUGCUGCAAGUGCUGCUGUUCUGGAAACACCUCCCCAGCAAGGCAGGCCUUCAGCCCACCCAGCAGAGCUGGGCCUCAGGGAAGGCUGCGGGAAUUUUACCACCAGUUUGGUGGUGAAUGGGAUCAGGCCUCAUGUCCACAAAGCAGUGCAGUUUUGGUGGCUGUUGUUCAUAGACACCCUGACAAAGCAGGAGGAGAUAUGGAGAGGAACUACAACAUGGAGAGGAACUACAUGACAGCAUGUCUGCGACAGUGAUGCAGCGAAGAAAAGGCAGAGCCCCUUAAUGGAGAAAUCCGUGGUGGUUGUGAGGUUCACAAGUUUUUGUGGGCUUUGCCCUGGGCUGUUUUCCAGUUGCUUCAUACCUGGCUUCCCCAGCUUUGCCACUAAGAUGGUAAAUCUGCUUUAAUCACAGUUACGACAAAUUUGCUUCGAUCAGGGAGAGGAAUCCUUGAAUAACAUGUUAAGAAGCAUCCCAAUGACUUGGAAACUGGCACCCACCUCUUGAAAACUGGCACCCAGACGUUCCUGAGGUGCUGAGCACAGACAGGACUGGGGACACAGAGCUGGCACAACUGUCAGACAGAUGUGCCAUGACAGACAGUCAGCAGGGAGUCCUUCCACCUGCACAUACCAAAGGGAGUGCCGCUGUUGGAAGGGACCCUGCCAAUAUUGCACAAGAACAAAAAUAAUGCACAGAACUGCUAGAAUUGCACUGUGAACUUAGAAGUAUAUGCUCAAGCAAAGUUACCAGGAACACACCAGGAGUUCCUGAAUGAAGAUUUCAGGGUUGAUGUGUGAUUUGCAAAACACUGACGCGCACAUGUACAUCGUGGUCCCUUGCUGCUUGUCUGUCUCCAGCUCCAGUGGUGUUGGUUUGGCUUCCAACAUAUUUUGCAUUUGGGUUCAGUGGACAGAACGUCAUUGUUAUGCUGAAUAACCUAAGCUCUUUAAUCCAUGAUUGUUUGCCCCCAGAGAGUUUUUGAUAACCUCCCUAAAAGAUGGCAAGCGUCCAGUAUUUUGUCUUGAAUCGCAGUCUAGUUCCAGAACAAUCAACUCUAAGUUGUUUAAGAAGACUGUGUACAUUAAAACAGCUGUAAAUCAGCGUAAUGAAAACAACAGCACAUGCAGAAAUUCAUUACAUAUCUGAUACACUGGGGUGUUAUUUUAUUAUUUGAUGCAUUUAUGCUUUAUGCUUGUUUUGCAGCAUAAAAUUUAGCCGAUGAAUGUGAAAUUACAAACCGCUGCCAUUUCUCUCCCAGUAAACAGAAUGCAUUAAAAAAAUAAAAUAAACACCUAAAUGUUUUAUUAUAAUAAAGUUACUUGGGGCCAAGAGUUCAACAAGGAGAAUUUAUAAACAUAUCAUCUCAGAUCUUGGAAGGAUUUCAACAUAAUUUGCUUGUGGUAUGGUAAGUGAGGUGAAAUCCAUCUACAAGUCUCUCUGGAGCAAUAAAUAUAUGGAAGUGUCUAUUUAUAUUUGCUAUGAAUUUACUGUAGCACAAAAAUGCUCCUGACUUUCCCAAUCAAAUGUGUAGGACUUUUGGGCAAAGAAGGAAUUAUUUGCACACAUUAUUCUUAAAUAACAUCGCUUUUGUUUCUUCACCAAACAAAAGUUGUUAUCUGUCAUUAUUUGCUUGACUGAAAUGCUGCCCCAUGGGAGCAAGAGCUACUGUCACAGUUAAGGCUUUGAAGGAUCAGGCCCCAGGGCCCCAGCUUUCAGCAAUAUUUUUGAAUAUGCUUUCAUCUAAGUUGACAGUGUAAAUAAAUUAUAAUAAUUGAGACUUCA